GACGAACGCUGGCGGCGCGCCUAACACAUGCAAGUCGAACGGAGCUGAGAGAAGCUUGCUUUUCUUAGCUUAGUGGCGAACGUGUGAGUAACGCGUGAGUAACCUGCCCUGGAGUGGGGGACAACAGGUGGAAACGACUGCUAAUACCGCAUAAGCCCACGAUCCUGCAUCGGAUUGAGGGAAAAGGAUUUAUUCGCUUCAGGAUGGACUCGCGUCCAAUUAGCUAGUUGGUGGGGUAACGGCCCACCAAGGCGACGAUUGGUAGCCGGACUGAGAGGUUGACCCGCCCCCUUGGGACUGAGACCCGGCCCAGACUCCUACGGGAGGCAGCAGUGGGGGAUAUUGCACAAUGGGGGAAACCCUGAUGCAGCGACGCCGCGUGGAGGAAGAAGGUUUUCGGAUUGUAAACUCCUGUCGUUAGGGACGAUAAUGACGGUACCUAACAAGAAAGCACCGGCUAACUACGUG
rnacentral:rRNA from 1 species